rnacentral:lncRNA from 1 species
GGCUGACUAAAACGUUUAUCACAUAAAUCACAGGCAUGUGGUUUAUCUCCAGUAUGUGUUCUCUUGUGUACUUCAAGUUUACUACCGGUCAAAAAUUCUUUACUGCAAACAUCACAUUUAUGAGAUUUUUCACCAGUAUGUGUUCUCAAAUGUGUCUUUAAGUCACUGCUUUGAGUAAGUUCUUUAGGACAAACGUCACUUUUAACGUCAUUACCAGCUUCUGUUCUUAUGUUUCUCUGAUGAAUACCACUGGUUGUUACUAAAUCCUCUACCUCAUACAUCCUACUAAUAAGGCUUAUCACCAGUGAGUUCUUG